rnacentral:rRNA from 1 species
UACGAAGGGGGCUAGCGUUACUCGGAUUGACUGGGCGUAAAGGGCGCGUAGGCGGUGCGGUAAGUCACCUGUGAAAUCUCCCGGCUCAACUGGGAGGGUGCGCCGAAUACUGAGAGGCUAGAGUGUGGGAGAGGAAAGUGGAAUUCCUGGUGUAGCGGUGAAAUGCGUAGAUAUCAGGAGGAACACCGGUGGUGUAAACGGCUUUCUGGACCAUAACUGACGCUGAUGCACGAAAGCGUGGGUAGCAAACAGG